rnacentral:tRNA from 1 species
GUUUGGGGCUCAGUGGUAGAGUGCUUGCCUAGCAUAUAUGAGGCACUGGGUUCAAUCCUCAGCAUCACAUA